CCUACGGGAGGCAGCAGUGAGGAAUAUUGGGCAAUGGACGCAAGCCUGACCCAGCCACGCCGCGUGCAGGAUGAAGGCUUUCGGAUUUGAAACUUCUUUUCGCAUUGGCGUAAACAGUGCCAGUAGCAGGGGCAUAAGCCACUACUACCUACAUGGCAUCGGUAACUCCGUGCCAGAAGUCGCGGGCAUACGGAGGAUUCAAGGGUUAUCAGGAUUUAUUGGGUUUAAAGGGUGCGCAGGCGGUUAGAUAAGUUAGACGUGAAAUACCGGGGCUCAAAAACGGGACUGCCUCUGAAACUGUGUAUCUUGAGAAUAGUGGCGGUAGACGGAAUGCCUAGUGUAGCGGUGAAAUGCUUAGAUAUCA
rnacentral:rRNA from 1 species